UGGCUACAAGAUACAAAGAAAUAAAAACACAUGUUAACAGUUACUUCUAUGUAGAAAAUUACUACAAGAAACAAAACAGAAAAAAUACAUGUAAUAAGUUACUACUGUGUAGAAUAAAAAUAAAAGAGGAUCAUAAUGCAUGUAUAAAACUAUCAUAAAAACAAUCUCACAACAUUGUCUGGUAAAACAAACACCCUACAGAGGCUCACAACAAAUAUAUACUGUUUAUUUACACACAAAUAUACACAUCAUCGAUGUAGGAUGGUUUUGGCAAAUUUAAACAAAUAGUCGUUACACAAAAAUUAACAAACCAUGUAUUUUUAAAUAUUCAAAGAAGUAUGAUUUACAAUACAGACCAACUGACAAGGAUAUAAACAAUCAUUCAUUAACCUUGCAGCGAAGAAUUAAUACCAUCAUUUUAACUUAUAAUUAAGAAAAUAACAAGCAUUAUUUGUUUGAAUAUUAUAGUGUAUUACCCGUAAGUACACAAACUAAUAUCUAAAUUGCACACUAACUCUACAACAACUACUACUUUAAUUCUGAUCAGAUAAAAACCCUGAUAAUUUUGUAAUACCUCAUUCUUAAAAUUAUAACAUUUCUUAGUGCAAACAGAUACAGGUUCUAUUUUUAAAAUUGGUGCCAUUAACAUGAUUAAUGUUAUUUCAGUAAUGAAAACACACUGACAUUCUAUCUAUUUGGACCAUUGCCAAAAAAUACUGUCAAGUACAUAACUUGUAUGUUGCCCUGAAAAUUUCAUUUUUAAUAGUUUUAACAUAUUUCACUGCCAAGCAAUAGUUUAAAAAGAAAUUGUCAUUUAAUAAAAACUUAUGAAAAUUAUAACCUAUUAUGUCUUACAAUGUCUAAUGACAUUUUUUCAUGAUAAGGAAGUCUUUAUAUAGCAUGAUUCUGGACAUUUGUAGAAAAUUACUUCAAAUAUUGCACAUUUCUGAUAGAUAGGAAAGUCAAUUUUGAAAAUAAAUGAUUCCUGGGUUUAUGGUCCUAAACUUUACUCAAUUUUCAGGGUACAAAAUUUAUGCACAAAAUUGUAAAAUCCAGCACUUGAUUGGAGGAAUUCUGAGCCUAGUUACGAUAUGCAUACUCCAAUUCUUUAGGACCAUAACAAAUUGUUGUUUUAGUGUCAAACUUUAACAAGACAACAUUGAAUUGAUACUUUACAGUCAAACAUAUGGGAUCUAUAAAAUACAUACAUGUAUGUAACCUAUAUAUAAAAAGAAAACAAAAGUAGAAAAUAAAAUAUAAAAUUGACAACAGUAAAAAACUUUUGUAUAUAACUGUAUAUAGGUAUACUAAAACACAGGUGUCAUUUUAGCAAAUCUCAAUUUUUGAAAGGGAUCUCAACCUUACGGAAAUUUCUUAAUACAAGAUUUUCCCAUGACCCUAUUUCAUUUUUAUUUGAAGAGUUGACACCUUUGAAUGAAAAAUAUUGGUUUAUCUAAACAAAUCUGAUUAUAUUCAAAUACUGCCAGUAUCAAAUAGUUUGUAUUCUAAUCUAAUACUGUGAAAAACAUAAUAAACAUUUCCUCUAGUAAAUUAAUCUACUGAUACGUCAGAAGUGUAAAACUAAAUCUAUACUCAUGAUUAAUCAGAAGUCCAAAAUUAAAGCUUUACUUAACUCAUCAAAAGCGUUUAUCAUUUACCCGGUAAUAAAAUUUGAUUUUCCUACAUUUAAAUAAAACAAAAACAAAAACUUUGAUUGUCUGGCUGUUCCAUAAAAGAUACAUGGUACCAAGGGUAGGUAAUUUGAAAUUUGUGAACCAACAGUAGUCAUUUUUUUGAUUGAUUGUUUGUGUUUCAACACCACUUUCAGCAUUAUAGGCUAUAUAACUCCAACCAUAGAUGAGGUUUAGUAGUGGUCUAAUGUACAGGGGCGGAUCCAGCCAUUUCAAAAGGGGGGGGGGGGUUCCCAACCCAGGACUAAAGGGGGGGUUCAAACUAUAUGUCCCCAUUCAAAUGCAUUGAUCGUCCCAAAAAAAACCUCCCCCUGGAUCCGCCAAUGAUGUAUGUUUUUAUAUAUGGUACAGUCUUUAUCAUUUUAACAUACAUGUAUUACCAUGAACAUUGAUGAUUAUGGAUCUGAAUUUUGAUUUUGAUUAGAUUGUCACAUUUAUUAAUAUCAAUUAAUUGUGUUUCCUGAUCAACAACCACAAUUACAAAUGUUCAAUGGUUAAUGUCAUGUUUCAAUUUUACAAAUGAUUUACCAAAGAAUUAUAAAAUACAAAACAGCAGUACAGUUUAAAUUCAUCAAUAAAUGUUCUUACAACCAAAAAUAAAAAUCUUAAAAUAUCAUUUAUGGGCAUUUCAGGGCUUUUCUGCAGUGUUUUAAAUAAUAAUAAGCUUGCAAGAAAUUUUCGUGAUAUAGCGUAAAAUAUGGUAAAAAGCUGUGUGCCAAAGGUGGAGAUUGUCGAUAUAUAUAUAUAAUAUCAAAUAUAUGUCAAUUAUAUAAGUAUUAAAGGAAUCAUCGGAAUGCAACCGAAAUGAGGUUUGUAUAAAAGUUAAGAGGUUUAUGUUGAAAAAAAUAAACUACAACCAUUUUUUAUCAGCUGGUCAGCUUUAUAUAAAAAGUUAAAAAAAAAACACUGAAAUGUUUUGAAUACAUUAUGACCUUGAAAUAGCUAUGAAAGUCACAAGAAACACUGAAUUGUUUUGUAUACAUAAUGACCUUUAGGAAGCGUUGAAAGUCACAUGAAACACUGAAAUAGUUUGAAAACAUGACCUUGAAUUAGCUAUGAAAGUCACACACAUUGAAAAAAUCCUGUUAUGUUAUUCCAUGAAAUUGUAUAAAAACAUAUAUUUUUUUCAGUAGCACCUUUUUUUACAAUGAAAGCACUGUUAGUAUUAAGUUAACCAUGUUUUGGUUCAUCAGAAAUACUGAAUUUAUCUCCUACAUGGAUUAUUAAAAAAGGCAGAGGUAAAAAAAUCUUGACAUUUGUUUCAGAUUGAAAAUUAAGCCUUGGACCUUAAUAAUUCCAUUGAAAAGUGAUUAUAAAAAAGUAGAGCAAAUU
rnacentral:lncRNA from 1 species